AACAAAAAUAAAAAAAAAAACCAAAUAUUUUCCUCUUUUUUACCUUAGGGAUCUUCCCAUGUCAGUACGAAAUCUUAGAUUACAAAUUUAAAUGAUGAACCAGAUCAAAUCAAUCACUCAUUUACUGGAGAAUGAAUAAGACCUUCCAGCUUCUCAACACAUUUGUUUCGUGACACUCAACUGGGAUGAUGGAUGUCCUACCUCUCUUUCUCCGUAACCUCCCUGAACCACCAUCGGAGCUUUUUUAAUCCACCAAACAUCCCGUUUUCGCCGAAAUCCUUCAUUGGCCAACAAGUGGGCUACUCGAUUUCCCUCUCUCUUUAUAUGUUGGAACUUAAUUCUUUCAAAGUCCACAGAAAUUUAUUUUGCUUCCCAGAUGAAAUUACUAAUCACUGAUCUGUCAAUGCAUGUCACUUUAAGCUUUUUUAUCACCACCGAUGAGUCACCUGCUACUUCACACAUUGGAAACCCAACUCCUGAAUGAAUUUGAUUGCUUGGGUGCUUGCUAAGGCCUUUGCAGUUAGAACAUGAGAUCCUUGUAGAAGUCCGCAUUGAAGUUUACUUGAACAAAAGUCUUUAAAAGAGGUCGGCACCCCACUGACUUUGUUGGGUUAAGCUUUAACUGUUCCCUUGCCAAUGUUUCUAAUUCUCUAGCAUAACCCAAUACAAAGGGCUAUUAGGCAAUCUUGGCUAGCAUGAAGGCCAGUCUCUACCUCAAGGUGAAAUGGAGGCACCGUCUCAGUCGAUCUGUUGUCUAAUGUGGCGCCAAUGGAAUGCUCAGAAUUUUCCUUGCCUCCUGAAUAUCAAAUGAGGGUUUGUCUCUUGGGAUCCCAUACAUAUCCUAACCGGUGAUUAGUCUACUACUUUCAACUUGCUAGAUGAACCCUUUCUCAAGAAGGAUCCUUGUUGCCGAUAUACUCAGCCAAAUCACUGAAGAUUGACUUCCUAGCUCAACUCUUAAAAAACUCUGUUUGCAAAAUAUUUAGCUUUUAGCACUCGAACCACUAGCAAAGUGGGGUUACAAAGUAAACACCACCCUUGUUUAGCUAAUAGUUUGAUAUUAAAUUUAGACAAAUUAUGGAAGCCCAUGCCUCCAGCCUCUUUCAAGUCACACCAAUCCCCCCAUGAACACUAAUGUAUAUCCUAUUGUGACUGUGAUUUUUGCCACCAAUACCGACACAUAAUCAAUUGUAGCUCCUUACAAAGACAACUUGAUAGUAAGAAAUAGGACACUGUAUACGUGGAAAUAGCCUGUAAUAUCGACUUUAUGAAUACCUCCUUGCCACCUUGCGAAAGGGUUCGAUUGCGAACACCCAUUAAUUCA